rnacentral:rRNA from 1 species
AGCCUUUAUUUUUAAAGGUAAGUUCUGCCAAUUCAAAAGAAAAGGCCGUUUUUACGCUAAGGUAGCGUAAUCAAAAGUUUAUUGAUUGUAAACCUGUAUGAAAGAGUAAACUCUAUUUUUCUUUCUUACAAUAGCAUAUUUAAUUUAAGGAGAUAAAAAAAUAAUCUUUAUGGUGUAAGACGAGAAGACCCUAAAAGCUGACCAUUAAUGGUUUUUUGGGGAAAAUAAUUGACUUUAUAAUCAGAAUUCAUAUAGAAACAUAUUUAGUAAUAAGCUACUUUAGGGGUAACAGAGCAAUUAUAAUUAAGAGAUCUUAUCUAAAUUGUAGUUUGCGACCUCCAUGUUGGAUUCUCUAUUCUGUUGGUUGCAAAAGGUAAAUAAGAAAGACUGUUCGUCUUUUAAAUAGAG